rnacentral:rRNA from 1 species
CAGUCGCCACGGUAAUACGAAGGGGGCUAGCGUUGCUCGGAAUUACUGGGCGUAAAGGGAGCGUAGGCGGAUCGUUAAGUUGGGGGUGAAAGCCCGGGGCUCAACCUCGGAAUUGCCUUCAAUACUGGCGAUCUUGAGUAUGGAAGAGGUAUGUGGAACUCCGAGUGUAGAGGUGAAAUUCGUAGAUAUUCGGAAGAACACCAGUGGCGAAGGCGACAUACUGGUCCAUUACUGACGCUGAGGCUCGAAAGCGUGGGGAGCAAACAGGAUUAGAGACCCCAGUAGUCCCUGUCUCUUAUAC